UUGACCUCAAAUCGGGUGAGACUACCCGCUGAACUU
rnacentral:rRNA from 2 species